CUGGCUCAGGAUGAACGCUAGCUACAGGCUUAACACAUGCAAGUCGAGGGGCAGCAUGGAGUUGCUUGCAAACUCUGAUGGCGACCGGCGCACGGGUGAGUAACGCGUAUCCAACCUUCCCUAUAGUAGAGGAUAGCCCGGCGAAAGUCGGAUUAAUACUCUAUGUUUUCCGUUGCAGACAUCUAAGAUGGAACAAAGGCUUGCCGCUAUAGGAUGGGGAUGCGUCUGAUUAGGUAGUCGGCGGGUAACGGCCCACCGAGCCAUCGAUCAGUAGGGGUUCUGAGAGGAAGGUCCCCCACAUUGGAACUGAGACACGGUCCAAACUCCUACGGGAGGCAGCAGUGAGGAAUAUUGGUCAAUGGGCGAGAGCCUGAACCAGCCAAGUAGCGUGCAGGAUGACGGCCCUAUGGGUUGUAAACUGCUUUUAUGCGGGGAUAAAGUUCACUACGUGUAGUGUUUUGUAGGUACCGCAUGAAUAAGGACCGGCUAAUUCCGUGCCAGCAGCCGC
rnacentral:rRNA from 1 species